UGUGUUUGUAUGUGUGUGUGUGACAAGUUCUUUUCAUUUGAUUCUUUUAAAUGAAAUAAAAAAAAACAUUCACACAUUCAACACAGAGAGAUGGGUCAAAGGACAAGAAAGAAAACAACAACAACAACAGCAGCAGCAGAAUGAAUAAUGGGAAAUGAUUUUAUCCUCAUUUGGAAUUGUAAUGAAUUUUUUUUUGGUCCUCCUGCUGCUGCUGCUGACCAUUUAGUUCUAAAAAGAAAUAAGUGAGAUGUCAACCAUGUUUCACUUAUACACACACACACACACACAAAAGAAAUGGAUGCCGCAAAUCACAAAUCAACCUAACAUCCAUUUUCAAUGGAUGAAUAUCACUAUGAAUGGAUGAUGGAUGAAUAUCAAUGUUGUGGUUGAAUCUAUUCGGAUAGAAAAAAUUUAAUUUUUUUUUUUAAUAACAAACACACCACUCAAUUGAUCAUAGAUUCGAUGAAUCUAAGGCCAUGGCCACCACCACCACCACCACCUGAUGAUGAUGAUUUGCUGCUUACAUCAAAUGAUUGAAAUUUAAUUCGAACAAUCUUGUGUGUGUGUGUGUUUGGCAAAAAAAAAACCACCGGCUGUUUCUUUGUUGUGUAGGCCACACGGUGUGUGUGUGUGUGUAUAUAUGAGAUAUAAAUAGAUCGAACACAUUUUCAAAUGAUACCGAUCAUCAUCAUCAUCAUCAUUAUCAACAAUUACCAACCAAUCACAUUACAAAGGUGUCAUAUAUAUAUCAUUCUUUUUGAAUAUAUAUGAAAAAAAGAACC